AUUGAACGCUGGCGGCAGGCCUACCACAUGCAAGUCGAGCGGAUGAAGGGAGCUUGCUCCUGGAUUCAGCGGCGGACGGGUGAGUAAUGCCUAGGAAUCUGCCUGGUAGUGGGGGAUAACGUCCGGAAACGGGCGCUAAUACCGCAUACGUCCUGAGGGAGAAAGUGGGGGAUCUUCGGACCUCACGCUAUCAGAUGAGCCUAGGUCGGAUUAGCUAGUUGGUGGGGUAAAGGCCUACCAAGGCGACGAUCCGUAACUGGUCUGAGAGGAUGAUCAGUCACACUGGAACUGAGACACGGUCCAGACUCCUACGGGAGGCAGCAGUGGGGAAUAUUGGACAAUGGGCGAAAGCCUGAUCCAGCCAUGCCGCGUGUGUGAAGAAGGUCUUCGGAUUGUAAAGCACUUUAAGUUGGGAGGAAGGGCAGUAAGUUAAUACCUUGCUGUUUUGACGUUACCAACAGAAUAAGCACCGGCUAACUUCGUGCCAGCAGCCGCGGUAAUACGAAGGGUGCAAGCGUUAAUCGGAAUUACUGGGCGUAAAGCGCGCGUAGGUGGUUCAGCAAGUUGGAUGUGAAAUCCCCGGGCUCAACCUGGGAACUGCAUCCAAAACUACUGAGCUAGAGUACGGUAGAGGGUGGUGGAAUUUCCUGUGUAGCGGUGAAAUGCGUAGAUAUAGGAAGGAACACCAGUGGCGAAGGCGACCACCUGGACUGAUACUGACACUGAGGUGCGAAAGCGUGGGGAGCAAACAGGAUUAGAUACCCUGGUAGUCCACGCCGUAAACGAUGUCGACUAGCCGUUGGGAUCCUUGAGAUCUUAGUGGCGCAGCUAACGCGAUAAGUCGAACGCCUGGGGAGUACGGCCGCAAGGUUA
rnacentral:rRNA from 1 species